GCAAAACGAAACGCUUCAUUUACGUAGUUGGGACUUCAUAAUACGGAUAACAAAAAUAGUGUUGGUUACUCUCCUAUUUUCUGACUGUCCGAUGAGUUGACAGGGAGAGACGCAGCAUUAACUGGGACAAAGUCAAACCUCAAAGAUAACCUCCGAGGCAAAGAUAACCACGGUACUUAAAAUGAUACCGCAAACAGAACACACCAGAAUGUCUUGCUCAUCGCCCAGGACUGCAGAAAUGAUGUCCUUAUCAGUACAGUUGAUGAAUAUAUUGAUGCAGAUACUUAUCAUGUGGGCACAGAUGUUGGCUCUAUGGGCUCGGAUAAUAUCCAUAACAGCUCAGUUAAUUGGGCUUUUGGCCAGAAUAUUAACUAUUGCAAUGGAAAUGAUAACUCCUGCAAUUGAAGUGUUGUUAACAAUUGCUAAGACACUUAACCCAGUUAUCAAGGUGCUGGCCUCUGGGGUGGAUUUUCUGAAACCCGUAAUUGCUGAGAACAUAAGGGAAAAUACCGGUGUUUCCGGUUGUGGAGUUAUGUGAGCAAGAUGAAACUCAUUGGUUGUGCUUCCUUCAUACAUGCCAGCUAGUAGGAUGCCCUGCCAAGGUAACUACAUCAACUAAUGUGAAGAACCACAUGAUGUAACAUACCAUUUUGACAAAGUAUGCGUAAGCCUAAUAUCUUGUAAUCUGUGUAUGUGAAUCUUGAAUAAUUCUUAUGAAUGUUUUGAGGAUAAAUCACUUCAUUCUCAAAGUACAUAGUUUAUUUCUCUAUAAGAAUAUUUUGAAAUUAAUUGUUUUCAUAUAACAGUAGAUCAAUUAUUAGAUGA